AGCCUGGCCCAGCAGAGGCCCGCAGAAGCCCUGCUUGUUUCUCCCGCCAGCCGCAGAAAGACACAACUUGCUGAUUUCCCCUCUCCAGAGCAGUCUCUAGACCAACGGUGCUACUCGUACUGGGUGCUGGUGUUCUUCCUCAGAGGGCUGCUGACCUGCUAGGGCUGGGGACACCUGAAGGAUCCUGGAGAGAAAUGGCAGAACAGGGGAAGAGGCCCCUUAAAUUUUUCAACACUUGAUGCCAUCAAAGCAACACGUCGUUCUGGCCUCGGACUACACCACCAUACAGAUGAGAGUUACCACCGCGACGGCACAAACGAAAAUGAAGAUCGAUGUCAAAAUAAAGGCCCAUGCACUUCCCCCCGAGAUUUCCCUUGCCGCCUGUUCACCUCACUGUCCGCAGCAGUUCUCACUCGGUGCAUUAACAGGUGGUAAACGACACAGAUCUGCGUUGAGGGAAACAGCCCUCUUCUCCCCAAGAAGAUGACCCGAGCAUCUGCGGGGUAAAGUUCACUUCCAUACAGCUCCUCCUGCCCCCACCUUCCCUCCCUGUGGGAGGAAACCCCCCAUUGCUCUCUAGAAAGCUGGGGGACUAGCAGCAACCUGUGCCCUGGAGCCCUAGGAGAGAUCCCAAUGGACAAACUUGUAAUUACGGUAAUGAUUUACAAAUAAGCGACAAGAGGCACUCGGAAGGGCUGGUUAGAGAUGCAGGCAGGCAGCUCAGUGCAACUGCCCAAUGACAUAAAAACUUCAGCCCCUCUCCUUGCAAAUCGUCGCUUGGAGCUGUGUGCCCUAACAGUUAGCAAGGACCCUGUUGACAGGUGUUCUCUGCUCAGCAGGGGUACAGGAAAACCUGAGUCCCCAGAGAGCUGGGCCAGGCCGUUUAGUUGGUAAUGACUCAGGUAAUGCAGGCACAGGCAGGGGUGGGAGGGGACGCUAGGACACAGGAGAGACGAGAAGGGGAAGGAAGGAGAAGUCUCCCGUCCCGUCCCGUCCUGGGCUGCAGCACAGAGACCAAAGUGCUGCAAAGCAUGGAGCUCACAGAGCCCAGCUGCUCUCAGGACACAGAAGUUUCAGGGGCCUUGUGGCCCCACCGCCUGCGUGCUGAAGCCCCAAACCGCAGGGUCAGGAGUGGUGAGAUCACCGAGGUGAUGGUGUGCUGUCGGCAUCUGCACACAGCUCUCCGAAGCAAGGACGCGAGAGCUGGAACCCUUCUUCCUUCGACGGCCCCAUGUCAGCUGAAGGAGCCACGCAGGCCCCGCCAACCCAGCACCUGUUCUGAAGACGGCCUCUGUUUUCACGACCGCUCUCAAAUCGGUUCCCACUUUCCACUCCUGCUGCCAGCUUCCGG